rnacentral:rRNA from 1 species
AGCGAACGCUGGCGGCAGGCCUAACACAUGCAAGUCGAACGAACCUGUCGGGGUUAGGGGCGGUCGGGGGGGGAACACGUGGGAACGUGCCUGUAGGUUCGGUAUAACUCAGGGAAACUUGUGCUAAUACCGCAUGUGCCCUUAGGGGGAAAGAUUAAUCGCCUUUGGCGCGGCCCGGGUCUGAUUAGCUGGUUGGGUGAGGUAAUGGCGCACCAAGGCGACGAUCAGGAGCUGGUGUGAGAGCAGGCUCAGCCACAUUGGGACAGAGACACGGCCCAAACUCCUGCGGGAGGCAGCAGUGGGGAAUCUUGCGCCGUGGGCGAAAGCCUGAAGCAGCCAUGCCGCGUGAAUGACCAACGUCUUAGGAUUGUAAAAUUCUUUCACCGGGGACGAUAUGGCCGGUACCCGGAGAAGAAGCCCCGGCUACCUUCGU